GACGAACCGUGCGAACGUUAUUCGGAAUCAUUGGGCUUAAAGGGCGCGUAGGCGGGUGCUCAAGUCCGUGGUGAAAUCCUCCGGCUCAACCGGAGAACUGCCUCGGAUACUGGGUGCCUCGAGGGUGGUAGGGGUAUGCGGAACUAUCGGUGGAGCGGUGAAAUGCGUUGAUAUCGAUAGGAACUCCGGUGGCGAAGGCGGCAUACUGGACCACCUCUGACGCUGAGGCGCGAAAGCCAGGGGAGCAAACGGG
rnacentral:rRNA from 1 species